GCUUCCAUAGCUCAGUCGGUAGAGCGCAUCCAUGGUAAGGAUGAGGUCAUCGGUUCAAGUCCGAUUGGAAGCUCCA
rnacentral:tRNA from 1 species